GGUUAAGCGACUAAGCGUACACGGUGGAUGCCCUGGCAGUCAGAGGCGAUGAAGGACGUGCUAAUCUGCGAUAAGCGUCGGUAAGGUGAUAUGAACCGUUAUAACCGGCGAUUUCCGAAUGGGGAAACCCAGUGUGUUUCGACACACUAUCAUUAACUGAAUCCAUAGGUUAAUGAGGCGAACCGGGGGAACUGAAACAUCUAAGUACCCCGAGGAAAAGAAAUCAACCGAGAUUCCCCCAGUAGCGGCGAGCGAACGGGGAGCAGCCCAGAGCCUGAAUCAGUGUGUGUGUUAGUGGAAGCGUCUGGAAAGGCGCGCGAUACAGGGUGACAGCCCCGUACACAAAAAUGCACAUGCUGUGAGCUCGAUGAGUAGGGCGGGACACGUGGUAUCCUGUCUGAAUAUGGGGGGACCAUCCUCCAAGGCUAAAUACUCCUGACUGACCGAUAGUGAACCAGUACCGUGAGGGAAAGGCGAAAAGAACCCCGGCGAGGGGAGUGAAAAAGAACCUGAAACCGUGUACGUACAAGCAGUGGGAGCACGCUUAGGCGUGUGACUGCGUACCUUUUGUAUAAUGGGUCAGCGACUUAUAUUCUGUAGCAAGGUUAACCGAAUAGGGGAGCCGAAGGGAAACCGAGUCUUAACUGGGCGUUAAGUUGCAGGGUAUAGACCCGAAACCCGGUGAUCUAGCCAUGGGCAGGUUGAAGGUUGGGUAACACUAACUGGAGGACCGAACCGACUAAUGUUGAAAAAUUAGCGGAUGACUUGUGGCUGGGGGUGAAAGGCCAAUCAAACCGGGAGAUAGCUGGUUCUCCCCGAAAGCUAUUUAGGUAGCGCCUCGUGAAUUCAUCUCCGGGGGUAGAGCACUGUUUCGGCAAGGGGGUCAUCCCGACUUACCAACCCGAUGCAAACUGCGAAUACCGGAGAAUGUUAUCACGGGAGACACACGGCGGGUGCUAACGUCCGUCGUGAAGAGGGAAACAACCCAGACCGCCAGCUAAGGUCCCAAAGUCAUGGUUAAGUGGGAAACGAUGUGGGAAGGCCCAGACAGCCAGGAUGUUGGCUUAGAAGCAGCCAUCAUUUAAAGAAAGCGUAAUAGCUCACUGGUCGAGUCGGCCUGCGCGGAAGAUGUAACGGGGCUAAACCAUGCACCGAAGCUGCGGCAGCGACGCUUAUGCGUUGUUGGGUAGGGGAGCGUUCUGUAAGCCUGCGAAGGUGUGCUGUGAGGCAUGCUGGAGGUAUCAGAAGUGCGAAUGCUGACAUAAGUAACGAUAAAGCGGGUGAAAAGCCCGCUCGCCGGAAGACCAAGGGUUCCUGUCCAACGUUAAUCGGGGCAGGGUGAGUCGACCCCUAAGGCGAGGCCGAAAGGCGUAGUCGAUGGGAAACAGGUUAAUAUUCCUGUACUUGGUGUUACUGCGAAGGGGGGACGGAGAAGGCUAUGUUGGCCGGGCGACGGUUGUCCCGGUUUAAGCGUGUAGGCUGGUUUUCCAGGCAAAUCCGGAAAAUCAAGGCUGAGGCGUGAUGACGAGGCACUACGGUGCUGAAGCAACAAAUGCCCUGCUUCCAGGAAAAGCCUCUAAGCAUCAGGUAACAUCAAAUCGUACCCCAAACCGACACAGGUGGUCAGGUAGAGAAUACCAAGGCGCUUGAGAGAACUCGGGUGAAGGAACUAGGCAAAAUGGUGCCGUAACUUCGGGAGAAGGCACGCUGAUAUGUAGGUGAAGUCCCUUGCGGAUGGAGCUGAAAUCAGUCGAAGAUACCAGCUGGCUGCAACUGUUUAUUAAAAACACAGCACUGUGCAAACACGAAAGUGGACGUAUACGGUGUGACGCCUGCCCGGUGCCGGAAGGUUAAUUGAUGGGGUUAGCCGCAAGGCGAAGCUCUUGAUCGAAGCCCCGGUAAACGGCGGCCGUAACUAUAACGGUCCUAAGGUAGCGAAAUUCCUUGUCGGGUAAGUUCCGACCUGCACGAAUGGCGUAAUGAUGGCCAGGCUGUCUCCACCCGAGACUCAGUGAAAUUGAACUCGCUGUGAAGAUGCAGUGUACCCGCGGCAAGACGGAAAGACCCCGUGAACCUUUACUAUAGCUUGACACUGAACAUUGAGCCUUGAUGUGUAGGAUAGGUGGGAGGCUUUGAAGUGUGGACGCCAGUCUGCAUGGAGCCGACCUUGAAAUACCACCCUUUAAUGUUUGAUGUUCUAACGUUGACCCGUAAUCCGGGUUGCGGACAGUGUCUGGUGGGUAGUUUGACUGGGGCGGUCUCCUCCUAAAGAGUAACGGAGGAGCACGAAGGUUGGCUAAUCCUGGUCGGACAUCAGGAGGUUAGUGCAAUGGCAUAAGCCAGCUUGACUGCGAGCGUGACGGCGCGAGCAGGUGCGAAAGCAGGUCAUAGUGAUCCGGUGGUUCUGAAUGGAAGGGCCAUCGCUCAACGGAUAAAAGGUACUCCGGGGAUAACAGGCUGAUACCGCCCAAGAGUUCAUAUCGACGGCGGUGUUUGGCACCUCGAUGUCGGCUCAUCACAUCCUGGGGCUGAAGUAGGUCCCAAGGGUAUGGCUGUUCGCCAUUUAAAGUGGUACGCGAGCUGGGUUUAGAACGUCGUGAGACAGUUCGGUCCCUAUCUGCCGUGGGCGCUGGAGAACUGAGGGAGGCUGCUCCUAGUACGAGAGGACCGGAGUGGACGCAUCACUGGUGUUCGGGUUGUCAUGCCAAUGGCACUGCCCGGUAGCUAAAUGCGGAAGAGAUAAGUGCUGAAAGCAUCUAAGCACGAAACUUGCCCCGAGAUGAGUUCUCCCUGACCCUUUAAGGGUCCUGAAGGAACGUUGAAGACGACGACGUUGAUAGGCCGGGUGUGUAAGCGCAGCGAUGCGUUGAGCUAACCGGUACUAAUGAACCGUGAGGCUUAACCUU
rnacentral:rRNA from 1 species